rfam:Myotis davidii contig157972, whole genome shotgun sequence.
GGGGGUUCUUGGGUGAUACACUCCAGAAUCAGUUUCUAUCCUCUCUGGUUCCUGCAUGCGUCACCUGAGAACCACA